UUUCUUGUUUAUUUGUGCAGUUGAUGGCUUGGAUAAAGCUUCAAUCGCUAACUCAGAUGGACCAGCCCCAGGAUCCCAAACUCCUCCCUUCAAGAGAAAGGGCAAACUUUCUACCAUUGGCAAAAUUUUUAAACCUUGGAAAUGGAGGAAGAAGAAGACCAGUGACAAAUUCAGAGAAACGUCAGCAGUGUUGGAAAGGAAGAUUUCGACAAGACAAAGCAGAGAGGAGCUGAUAAGAAGGGGAGUGCUGAAGGAAAUGCCUGAGCAAGGUUGGAAGAAACAGGAUUGUUUUGGAUGGGCUGAAAACAGAGAUACAGGUGUGAAGCUAGUUAGAAGGAACGUCUGCAGAGCUGAAAGCUAGAUGAAGAAAUGUUAUGGGGUAUUGAAAUGUGAGAGGUAAGAAAUGCAAAGAAGUGACACUAUUUCAGAAGGGAUGGAGCAGAAAGAGGUGGGAAGUGGCAAGGGUGUAGAUGAGAUGUUAGCAGAAUAUGAGUAAGGUGGGAAUCUUACAUAUGGAGGCAGAAAGGGAAGUGGAUUUAAGAGCAUCUGGAAGGAAAAAGCUGAGGAAGUUGAAUGCUGCAGUCAAAUAAGAAGAAGGCCUUGUGCAAAUAUCAGCUAUAGUAAAUGAGACAAGGUUAAGAAGGCAGAACUUAGGUUUUACACAUCAUUUUUACGCAUCAAGAGAAAGUUAGUUGUGUGGUUAGAAUGAAACAUCAGCUUAAUUCACAGAACAGCCUAAGGAAGUAAGAGAGGCUACAUAAUUGUAUUGAAAUGAGGGAACUGCCAAACAUCCAGAUCUCAUAGCACCCAACAAGAAGAAGAGAGUAGAAUUACCACAAUUAAUGAAGAAGCAACAGGAGGAACCAGAAGACAUUACAGGUAAAGUUGCACAGAUUUUGGCUGAUAAGAGCAUCCUGUAGAAGGAGGGCAAUCAUCUCUGAGAACUGGAAUUGUAGUGUCAGCAACCUACAGAUAGCAAGUCUUGGACAUAACAGAGAAGAAAAUCAGCAAUGAUUUAAAAAUUCAUAAAAUAGAGAGCAGAUACCAGUCAACAGAGAAAGUUGUGAGCCAGCAAGAGUACACAGCAUUUUUCAGGGACAUAGAUACAGAUAAGGAAGAGAAAAAAAAAUAUUUUUUUAUUUUAUUUUAUUUUUUCAGGAAGAAAAAGAAAACAUAGCUGAGGUAGUUCACAUGAGUCAGUAAUAGUCAUAAGAGCUGGGAGAGAAUUGGACUUGCAAAAUGUAUUAAUAGUAUGUAAUAUGUUACAAGGAGUCUUAACCUUGAUUUUUAAGAUUGGAUAAUGACUCAUUAUCAUUAGUAGUAAAUUCACAUUUGGGAAUUGAUCACAUAUAUUCUGAAAAUUUCUGCCUGAUUUCUGGCUGAUACACCACUGGGAUACAACACAGUUGCUCUGCAACUCUAUGCAUGUCCAGGUCUGAGACCUUUGGAAACACACUAUCUAUACAUUGUGUUCCAUGUGAAUGUCUUUAAGCUAUGUAAACCAAGAUCAUAGAAUCAUAGAAUGGCCUAGGUUGAAAAGAACCACAAUGAUCAUCUAGUUUCAACCCCC